AACAUCAAUCGCAUGUUCACUCUCUACAAAAGGCUGGCUUCACUUUUCAGUUGUGAGGUUGGUUGGAGUUCAAAUGUGAAUGAAAGCGUAGAAAAACCACUUGUUGGAGCACGUUUCUGGGCGCCCGAUGUUGACAAAGCCGUGGAACAUUGGGAAUCAGUUGUGACUAAAUCU
rnacentral:snoRNA from 1 species